rnacentral:rRNA from 1 species
UACGAAGGUGGCAAGCGUUGUUCGGAAUCACUGGGCAUAAAGCGCGCGUAGGCGGUUAGAUCAGUCGGAUGUGAAAUCCCUCAGCUUAACUGAGGAACUGCGUCCGAUACUGUCUGACUUGAGGUCUGGAGGGGAGAAUGGAAUUCCUGGUGGAGCGGUGAAAUGCGUAGAGAUCAGGAGGAACGCCAGCGGCGAAAGCGAUUCUCUGGACAGAUUCUGACGCUGAGGUGCGAAAGCUAGGGGAGCAAAC